rnacentral:rRNA from 1 species
GUCCACGCCGUAAACGAUGGAUACUAGCUGUUUGGUAGCAAUACUGAGUGGCUAAGCGAAAGUGAUAAGUAUCCCACCUGGGGAGUACGAACGCAAGUUUGAAACUCAAAGGAAUUGACGGGGGCCCGCACAAGCGGUGGAGCAUGUGGUUUAAUUCGAUGAUACGCGAGGAACCUUACCAGGGCUUAAAUGUGUUUUGACGGAUUUUGGAAACAGAUCUUUCGCAAGACAAAAUACAAGGUGCUGCAUGGUUGUCGU